rfam:Candidatus Kuenenbacteria bacterium RIFCSPHIGHO2_02_FTLL_39_13 rifcsphigho2_02_scaffold_9631, whole genome shotgun sequence.
UUUACUAAGAGUUUGAUCCUGGCUCAGGAUGAACGCUGGCGGCGUGUUUGAGGCAUGCAAGUCGAAUGUGUUCUAAUUUAUUUUAGGAUGCAUGGCGAACGGGUGAGUAACACAUUGGUAACCUACCUCUGUCACGGGCAUAAUUCCGCGAAAGCGGAGCUAAUACCCGAUAGUUUCCGAUCUCACAAGAGCAUCGGAAUAAAGUUCCGGCAGACAGAGAGGGGCCUAUGUCUGAUUAGCUUGUUGGUGAGGUAAUGGCCCACCAAGGCGAUGAUCAGUAGCGGGGAUGGAAGUCUGACCCGCCUCACUGGGACUGAGACACUGCCCAGACUCCUACGGGAGGCUGCAGUCGAGAAUAUUCCUCAAUGCCCGCAAGGGUGAAGGAGCGACGCCGCGUGCAGGAAGACGCCCCUCGGGGUGUAAACUGCUUUUAUAAGGGAAGAAUCCCUCACCUUUUAGCUUUUGUUGUAUAAUAAAUAUAUGUAUUAUGUUUAUAUAUUAAAAAGCAAAAAAGAUUUUAGAUUCUAUAUUGGUUUUACAAAUAAUUUAAAAGAAAGAUUUGUAAAACACAAUAGUGGGCAAUCAACAUAUACUAGAAAAUUUAUGCCAUGGGUAUUGGUAUAUUAUGAGGCAUAUUUUUCUAAAAAUGAUGCGGUAUUAAGAGAAAAACAACUAAAACGACAUGCGAAAGCAUGGGGACAGUUAAAAAAUAGAAUCAAAAAAUCAAUAAAUGAAAGCUAAAAGGUGAGGGAUGACGGUACCUUACGAAUAAGGACCUCCUAAUUUCGUGCCAGCAGGAGCGGUAAUACGAAAGGUCCAAGCGUUAUCCGGUUUUAUUGGGCGUAAAGCGUCCGUAGGCGUCUUGAUAAGUUUUUUGUUAAAUACCAGCGCCCAACGCUGGUUCAGCAAAAAAAACUAUCAUGAUAGAGGGUGGGAAAGGCGAGUGGAAUGGCUGGUGUAGGAGUCAAAUCCGUUAAUAUCAGCUGGAACACCGAAGGCGAAAGCAGCUCGCUGGAACACUCCUGACGCUCAAGGACGAAAGCUAGGGGAGAGAAAGGGAUUAGAUACCCCUGUAUUCCUAGCCGUAAACGAUGGAUACUUGACAUUGGUAGUCUCGACCCUAUCAGUGUCGCUCUAAGCAAGCUAACGCCUUAAGUAUCCCGCCUGGGGAGUACGAGCGCAAGCUUAAAACUCAAAGGAAUAGACGGGGAGCUGCACAAGCGGUGGAGCAUGUGGUUUAAUUCGAUGAUAAGCGGGGAACCUUACUAGGGCUUGACAUCCUGCCUAUGUUUGACCUUAAUCGGACAAACUUAGUGGCAGUGACAGGUGCUGCAUGGUUGUCGUCAGCAUGUGCCGUGAGGUGCACAGUUAAUUCUGGUAACAUGCGCAACCCUCAUCUUGAGUUAAUUUUUCUCAAGAAACUGCUUUGGAUAACAAAGAGGAAGGUGGGGAUGACGUCAAAUCAGCAUGGUCCUUACGCCCUAGGCUACACACGUGCUACAAUGGCCACUACAAUGGGUUUGCCAAGUCGUAAGACGGAGCUAAUCCCAUCAAAGGUGGUCCCAGUUCGGAUUGAGGGCUGCAACUCGCCCUCAUGAAGUUGGAAUCGCUAGUAACCGCGGAUCAGCCUCGCCGCGGUGAAUACGUUCUCAGCUCUUGUACUCACCGCCCGUCACAUUAAGGGAGCCGGCAGUACCCGAAUGCCCCUGUUCAGGGGCAAAAGGUAAGGUUGGUAACAAGAAUGAAGUCGUUGAUUCAUACUGAAUGUUGCGACCUUA